rnacentral:lncRNA from 1 species
UUAAAAAAAUAAUAAAUUAACUCGAUAACUCAAAGCUAGUUAUUCUAAUUUAUCUAAAUUUAAAUUAUAUAUUUCAAUUAAAAAAUUAAAUUUCAAAUUGUGAAUGAAAAUUCAAAUAUCAAAAUCAAAAUAAAAAAUUUAAGUUUGAAAUCAAAAGUUAGAUUCAAUUUAAAAUUCAAAUUAAUUCAAACUUUAAAUUCAAAUUCAAAAUUAUAGUCUCUGGUGAGUUUAAAAUUUUAAUUUUAAUAUUAAAUCCAGAUUUAAAUUUAAAAAUUUAAAUUUUUAUUUUUAGGGACUAAAGUAAAAAACAUGCAAAGUUUAGAAGCCAAAAUUGACAUACAAAAAAAAGCUAAUUAGUAGGCACUGACAUGGCAAUUUCAUUAAUUUUAACAUCUCUUUUAAUGUUGGUACAUAAUCGCAACGAAAUCAAGAGGUUGAAAACUUAAUUGCCAAAACCAACCGUUCCUAGAGCAAGUGGCAAAAGGCUUGGUGGUUGGUACCCGAGACCCAAGUUCAAAUCCUAGUUGAUUCACAUUUCAAGCUAAAUUUAUUUCUAAAUGAAAUAAAUGAAGCGGGUAGCUACCUAUCUCUCAAAAAAAAAAGAAAAAAAAAAACUUAAUUGCAAAAAAAAAUAUUUUAGAGACCAAAGUUAAAAAUGGUGCAAA